ensembl:snRNA U6 U6 spliceosomal RNA
GUGCUUGCUUCAGCAGCACAUAUACUAAAACUGGAACGAUACAGAGAAGAUUAGCAUGGCUCCUGCGCAAGGAUGACACGCAAAUUCGUGAAGUGUUCCAUAUUAUG